rnacentral:lncRNA from 1 species
CGGGCGAUGCUGGGGGCUUUCCGGUGGGGGGCCGCAGCCGCUUCCGGAGCCGCGGGCGAGGUGCAAGUGGUUCUUCUCUGUCUUCUUUCUAGCCAGUAAAAUUCUCCAGAAGAGGAGAUUUAUGGCAGCCUCACUCCCAGUAGUUUCUGCAUUUAGGGAGAUAAGAUGGAAUCUUGCUCUGUUGCUCAGGCUGGAGUGCAGUGGCGUGACCUUGGCUCACUGCAACCUCACCUCUCGGGUUCAAGCGAUUCUGCCUCAGCCUCUCGAGUAGCUGGGACUACAGGUGGGAGACCUCCACAGAACCCUUCCAGCGAGCUGUCUUCUAAAGCAAACAAGAAAAAGAAAGUCUGAGCAGUUUUGAAUAGAUUUCCCAGAAGUCGAAGAGAGGAAAAAUGAAAAAGCUUCAUUUCUCACGUUCUUAAAAGAGAGCACAGAUGUUGCAUCAUCUGGUUAGAUAUCCUGAGAAUAAAAUCUGGAUCCAGUGAGAGAAAAGAUUCUG